AGAGUUUGAUCAUGGCUCAGGACGAACGCUGGCGGCGUGCUUAACACAUGCAAGUCGAACGGAAAGGCCCGCUUGCGGGUACUCGAGUGGCGAACGGGUGAGUAACACGUGGGCAACCUGCCCUCAGCUCUGGGAUAACUCCGGGAAACCGGUGCUAAUACUGGAUAUCAACUUUGCCUCGCAUGGGGUGUUGUUGAAAGUUUUUCGGCUGGGGAUGGGCCCGCGGCCUAUCAGCUUGUUGGUGGGGUGAUGGCCUACCAAGGCGACGACGGGUAGCCGGCCUGAGAGGGCGACCGGCCACACUGGGACUGAGACACGGCCCAGACUCCUACGGGAGGCAGCAGUGGGGAAUAUUGCGCAAUGGGCGGAAGCCUGACGCAGCGACGCCGCGUGAGGGAUGACGGCCUUCGGGUUGUAAACCUCUUUCAGCUCUGACGAAGCGUGAGUGACGGUAGGAGCAGAAGAAGCACCGGCCAACUACGUGCCAGCAGCCGCGGUAAUACGUAGGGUGCAAGCGUUGUCCGGAAUUAUUGGGCGUAAAGAGCUCGUAGGCGGUCUGUCGCGUCGAAUGUGAAAACCCGGGGCUCAACCCCGGGCCUGCAUUCGAUACGGGCAGACUAGAGUUCGGUAGGGGAGUCUGGAAUUCCUGGUGUAGCGGUGAAAUGCGCGAUAUCAGGAGGAACACCGGUGGCGAAGGCGGGACUCUGGGCCGAUACUGACGCUGAGGAGCGAAAGCGUGGGGAGCGAACAGGAUUAGAUACCCUAGUAGUCC
rnacentral:rRNA from 1 species